AUUGAACGCUGGCGGAAUGCUUUACACAUGCAAGUCGAACGGCAGCACGGACUUCGGUCUGGUGGCGAGUGGCGAACGGGUGAGUAAUGUAUCGGAACGUGCCCAGUCGUGGGGGAUAACGUAGUGAAAAUUACGCUAAUACCGCAUACGAUCUAUGGAUGAAAGCGGGGGAUCUCAAGACCUCGCGCGAUUGGAGCGGCCGAUAUCAGAUUAGGUAGUUGGUUGGGUAAAGGCCCACCAAGCCAACGAUCUGUAGCUGAUCUGAGAGGACGACCAGCCACACUGGAACUGAGACACGGUCCAGACUCCUACGGGAGGCAGCAGUGGGGAAUUUUGGACAAUGGGCGAAAGCCUGAUCCAGCCAUUCCGCGUGCAGGAUGAAGGCCCUCGGGUUGUAAACUGCUUUUGUACAGAACGAAAAGGUUUCUACUAAUACUAGGAGCUCAUGACGGUACUGUAAGAAUAAGCACCGGCUAACUACGUGCCAGCAGCCGCCGUAA
rnacentral:rRNA from 1 species